rnacentral:rRNA from 1 species
UACGGAGGGUGCAAGCGUUGUCCGGAUUUACUGGGUUUAAAGGGUGCGUAGGUGGAUUUGUAAGUCAGUGGUGAAAUCUCCGAGCUUAACUCGGAAACUGCCAUUGAUACUAUAAGUCUUGAAUUAUCUGGAGGUAAGCGGAAUAUGUCAUGUAGCGGUGAAAUGCUUAGAUAUGACAUAGAACACCAAUUGCGAAGGCAGCUUACUACGGAUAUAUUGACACUGAGGCACGAAAGCGUGGGGAUCAAACAGG